ACUCCUACGGGAGGCAGCAGUAGGGAAUCUUCCACAAUGGGCGCAAGCCUGAUGGAGCAACACCGCGUGAGUGAAGAAGGGUUUCGGCUCGUAAAGCUCUGUUGUUAAAGAAGAACACGUAUGAGAGUAACUGUUCAUACGUUGACGGUAUUUAACCAGAAAGUCACGGCUAACUACGUGCCAGCAGCCGCGGUAAUACGUAGGUGGCAAGCGUUAUCCGGAUUUAUUGGGCGUAAAGAGAGUGCAGGCGGUUUUCUAAGUCUGAUGUGAAAGCCUUCGGCUUAACCGGAGAAGUGCAUCGGAAACUGGAUAACUUGAGUGCAGAAGAGGGUAGUGGAACUCCAUGUGUAGCGGUGGAAUGCGUAGAUAUAUGGAAGAACACCAGUGGCGAAGGCGGCUACCUGGUCUGCAACUGACGCUGAGACUCGAAAG
rnacentral:rRNA from 1 species